AGAGUUUGAUCCUGGCUCAGAAUGAACGCUGGGGGCGCGCUUAACACAUGCAAGUCGAACGAGAAAUCCCGAGCUUGCUCGGGAGAGUAAAGUGGCGCACGGGUGAGUAACGCGUGGGUAACCUGUCCCUAAAUUUGGGAUAAUUCACCGAAAGGUGGCCUAAUACCAAAUACAGUCCUGGGAACCAAGGUUCUUUGGAUGAAAGCUGACCUCUUCAUGAAAGUUGGCGUUUAAUGAGGGGCUCGCGUACCAUUAGCUUGUUGGUAGGGUAAUGGCCUACCAAGGCUACGAUGGUUAGCUGGUCUGAGAAGAUGGCCAGCCACACUGGAACUGAAACACGGUCCAGACUCCUACGGGAGGCAGCAGUGAGGAAUCUUGCGCAAUGGGGGAAACCCUGACGCAGCGACGCCGUGUGAGUGAAGAAGGCCUUCGGGUCGUAAAGCUCUGUCAAGUGGGGAUAAAGUCUCUUGGUGAAUACCCGAGGGANNGGA
rnacentral:rRNA from 1 species